UGGGGAAUAUUGGACAAUGGGCGAAAGCCUGAUCCAGCAAUGCCGCGUGGGUGAAGAAGGUUUUCGGAUUGUAAAGCCCUUUCGGCGGGGACGAUGAUGACGGUACCCGCAGAAGAAGCUCCGGCUAACUUCGUGCCAGCAGCCGCGGUAAUACGAAGGGGGCUAGCGUUGCUCGGAAUGACUGGGCGUAAAGGGCGCGUAGGCGGUUUGCACAGUCGGGUGUGAAAUUCCUGGGCUUAACCUGGGGACUGCAUUCGAGACGUGUAGGCUUGAGUGGGGAAGAGGGUCGUGGAAUUCCCAGUGUAGAGGUGAAAUUCGUAGAUAUUGGGAAGAACACCGGUGGCGAAGGCGGCGACCUGGUCCUUUACUGACGCUGAGGCGCGAAAGCGUGGGGAGCAAACAG
rnacentral:rRNA from 1 species